rnacentral:lncRNA from 1 species
AAACAACCCUAGGGCCCUCGGGGGGCCAAAAAAUCACGGAAAAACGGAGCUUACCGGCGGCGGUGCUCUCGGGUGCGGCGGCUCUCCGGCGAGGUUCGUGUUUUGGUGAUUCGGCUCCGGUUAACCUGUAGAGAAAAGAGUGGUGAUCACGGUGAUAUAAAAAUUGCAUCAAACGGAGGCCGGGAAGGGCCUCAUCGGAGGCAAAAAUCGAGAAGGGCGCGGCGGCGCCGCUGGGCUUCGGCCAUGCAUUCCGGCCGUUUGGCCGGGAUUUUGGCUUCGAUUUG